UACAGAGUGGAAGAAAACAGAUUCUGGAGCAGUUUCAGUCGAGAGGGUAUUCACAGCUGAUCACUUCUGCCACUACAGACAAGAACACCCUGCUUGACCUCAUUUUUAUUUCUCAGCCACAGCACAGUCUCCAUUCAGGUGUCCUGAGGACAUAUUACAGUUACCACAACCCUGUGUUUUGUGUCCUGUCCUCCAGCCAAUCAUGAAGUCGUCUGAUAACUACAUGCCACAAGGAGACUGCUGUGUUAUGAACUGCCAUACCAGUGUGUCUUCAAUGGAGAAGAUGACACACCCAUCACCUGACCUCCUGCCUGAUCUGGAGACCAUCAUCAUGCUGCCACACUACACACCUCUGAGACCCUCAAUGAUGACUGAUACUGAGGAAACUGUAUUUCCUGUCAGAGAUGCUCAGUGAUCCUCAGAGCAGAGAGAGGUACUGCUGUCUCCUGAGUUCUUCAGUGUCCCAACUGAGACAUUCAAACCUCAUUGCAGAGCUCAUGCCUUUCCUCACCAUCAUGUGAGUGUGAGAUUGCUCUGGAUUCUGGUUAUGUGGCCUGCAGCACCUAUAAGAACAAGCUCGUACAGUGUGCCUGCAUUCCAGCUUCUUAGACUCUACGUAAGUGGACAGUAUCAGUGUUUGGCCGCUCUUACAGACACCGACUUCUGUCAACUCACUGCUACUGAUCAGGCACCUCACUUCAGGAAGACAGAGGGCUGCAAGCCUGUCAUCGUUUCCAGUGUGGCUUUGAAUUCUUGGGGUAGUAUCAGAUUUUUCCCACAAAUAUUCAAAGAUUUAUAUGCAGUGAUCGGAUGUGGUGGAGCUUUGUUAACUGUGUGUAAAACAUCUGUUUGUGAUGAUAUUUACAAUGAGGCUUUAAGGUGACAGUUUCCAUGUAAUUUCAGUCCUUUUACUAAGCAAAAACAUGUUUGCAAUUAACAUAUUUUUUUCAGUUUUGUCUUUUGGAUUUAUGGUUAACAUUCCUCUGUGACAGCAAAUACUAAACUGGUCCAAGUAACCAGCAUAUCAUUGGUUAAAG